AUUGAACGCUGGCGGCAUGCCUUACACAUGCAAGUCGAACGGCAGCACGGGGGGUAACCCCUGGUGGCGAGUGGCGAACGGGUGAGUAAUAUAUCGGAACAUGCCCUGUAGCGGGGGAUA
rnacentral:rRNA from 1 species